UUGCUAUUUGAUAUUUCUAGCGGCGGACGGGUGAGUAACGCGUGAGCAACCUGCCUUUAUCAGGGGGAUAACGCAUCGAAAGAUGUGCUAAUACCGCGUAAGACCACAGCCUCACAUGGGGCAGAGGUCAAAGGAGCAAUCCGGAUAAAGAUGGGCUCGCGUCCGAUUAGCUAGUUGGUGAGGUAACGGCCCACCAAGGCGACGAUCAGUAGCCGGACUGAGAGGUUGACCGGCCACAUUGGGACUGAGAUACGGCCCAGACUCC
rnacentral:rRNA from 1 species